GUGCUCGCUUCAGCAGCACCUAUACUAAAAAAUUGUAACGAUGCAGAGAAGAUUGACAUGGCCCCUGCACAAGGUUGACAUGCAAAUUCGUGAAGUGUUCAAUAUUUCU